GCCGAGGUGGUGGAAUUGGUAGACACGCUGGUCUUAGGAACCAGUGCUCGCAAGGGCUUGCAGGUUCGAUUCCUGUCCUCGGUA
rnacentral:tRNA from 1 species